rnacentral:rRNA from 1 species
UACGAAGGGGGCUAGCGUUGUUCGGAAUUACUGGGCGUAAAGCGCACGUAGGCGGAUAUUUAAGUCAGGGGUGAAAUCCCGGGGCUCAACCCCGGAACUGCCUUUGAUACUGGGUAUCUCGAGUCCGAGAGAGGUGAGUGGAAUUCCGAGUGUAGAGGUGAAAUUCGUAGAUAUUCGGAGGAACACCAGUGGCGAAGGCGGCGCCCUGGCUCGCAACUGACGCUCAGACACGACAGCAUGGGGAGCGAACGGG